CCUACGUGAGGCAGCAGUAGGGAAUCUUCCACAAUGUGCGAAAGCCUGAUGGAGCAACGCCGCGUGGGUGAAGAAGGUCUUCGGAUCGUAAAACCCUGUUGUUAGAGAAGAAAGUGCGUGAGAGUAACUGUUCACGUUUCGACGGUAUCUAACCAGAAAGCCACGGCUAACUACGUGCCAGCAGCCGCGGUAAUACGUAGGUGGCAAGCGUUAUCCGGAUUUAUUGGGCGUAAAGGGAACGCAGGCGGUCUUUUAAGUCUGAUGUGAAAGCCUUCGGCUUAACCGGAGUAGUGCAUUGGAAACUGGGAGACUUGAGUGCAGAUGAGGAGAGUGGAACUCCAGGUGUAGCGGUGAAAUGCGUCGAUAUAUGGAAGAACACCAGUGGCGAAAGCGGCUCUCUGGUCUGUAACUGACGCUGAGGUUCGAAAGCGUGGGUAGCAAACAGGAUUAGAUACCCCAGUAGUC
rnacentral:rRNA from 1 species